CAAAGGUUCUCUCAGUAGGGGCGAAAGUCGUACGGAGAGUGUAAAGGAAAAAGGGGGCUUGAUUGCAAGACAUACAGGUCGAGCAGGGAGGAAAAUCGGACUUGGUGAUCCGGUGGUUCUGCGUGAAAGGGCCACCGCCCAACGGAUAAAGGCUACCCGGGGAUAACAGGCUUAUCUCCCCCAAGAGUCCACAUCGACGGGGAGGUUUGGCACCUCGAUGUCGGCUCAUCACAUCCUGGGGCUGUAGUAGGUCCCAAGGGUUGGGCUGUUCG
rnacentral:rRNA from 1 species